rnacentral:tRNA from 1 species
AGCUCAACGGGAGAGCACCACAAGCAGAGGUCGGCGGUUCGAAUCCGUCUCUUG